GGGCGCGUAGCUCAGCGGGAGAGCACUCCCUUCACACGGAGGGGAUCACAGGUUCAAUCCCUGUCGCGCCCACCA
rnacentral:tRNA from 1 species